rnacentral:rRNA from 1 species
UACGAAGGGGGCUAGCGUUGCUCGGAAUCACUGGGCGUAAAGGGUGCGUAGGCGGGUUUUUAAGUCAGGGGUGAAAUCCUGAAGCUCAACUCCAGAACUGCCUUUGAUACUGAAGAUCUUGAGUCCGGGAGAGGUGAGUGGAACUGCGAGUGUAGAGGUGAAAUUCGUAGAUAUUCGCAAGAACACCAGUGGCGAAGGCGGCUCACUGGCCCGGUACUGACGCUGAGGCACGAAAGCGUGGGGAGCAAACAGG